UGCUCAUACUGGAUCACAUAUAUUCAAGGAAGUUUUGCUUGAUCUUCUGAGUUCAAAAACUGUUAUUUAUGUUACUCACCAAGUUGAGUUCUUACCUUCUGCUGAUCUAAUCUUGGUCCUGAAAGAUGGAAGGAUUACACAGGAUGGAAAGUACAAUGACACUCUUAUUCCAGGAUCUGAUUUUAUCGAACUUGUUGACGCACACAAGGCAGCCUUAUCCACGCUUGAUUCCAAACCAGAAGGGCCG
rnacentral:misc_RNA from 1 species